rnacentral:sRNA from 1 species
UACUGGGAAUCUGCGCUGGGGUGGGGUUGUGAGGUGGGCAGGGCUGGGUGUGUAAAAAAGUUGCUUUUGGAGGCCGGGCAUGGUGGCUCAUGCCUGUAAUCCCAGCACUUUGGGAGGCCGAGGCGGGUGGAUUGCCUGAGGUCAAGAGUUCGAGACCAGCCAUGGCCAACAUGGUGAAACCCUGUCUCUACUAAAAAUACAAAAAAUUAGCUGAGCGUGGUGGCGGGCACCUGUAAUCCCAGCUACUGGGGAGGCUGAGGCAGGAGAAUCGCUUGAAUCUGGGAGGCAGAGGUUGCAGUAAGGCAAGAUCCUGCCAUUGCACUCCAGCCUGGGUGACAGAGCAAGACUCCGUCUCAAAAAAAAAAAGAAAAAAGUUGCUUUUGGAUUCUGCAACCUCUGCUCAUGAAGCUCUGGGGAAGGCAGGUUAGUUUGUAGAGUUUCAGAUGAGUUCUUCUGUGGCCUCUGUGCAAAAUCUGAAAUCUCCCUCCACCUUUUCUGCCUAGCGAAUUUCUUCCCAUCCUUGAAACCCCAGAUCACCUCCUCUGGAGAGCCUUCCCAGACUCCCUUAAUGGCUAAGCCUAUCUGCUGCCAUGGCCCUGAGGCCACACUUAGUACUCCUGAUUCCAAGUGAAGAAUGCAGUGUGCCUGCCUGCCCUCUGGACUGAGAGCUCCUCAAAGACAGAGAUAAUUUUCUCAUUUCUUUAUUGCACUAGCUAACUAGUGCAGUGCCUGGUACACCUAGUGACCGCUCUGUGUAUGUUUAUUUAACAAUAGUUUUUAUUUAUUGAGGGCUCCUUAUGUGCUUGGCACUUUAUAUUUAGAAACUUUUAAUUCUAACUCUAACCUAUUACAUAGGUAUUAUUGGCUCCAUUUUAUAGAUUAAAAAAACUGAGGCUUGGAGGCUUAAGUAGCCUGCCUGUGUCACGCAGCUAGUAACUGGCCAGAGCCAGGAUUUGAACUAGGUCUGCCCAACUCUAGAGUUUAUGUUCUUCACACAGACAAUACCGUUAAGGCAUGACUGAAGCCGUGAAUGGGCGCUAGCAGUAGACAGAGCCUGAGACCAAGAUCAUUUGAAUGGCCUUGGUUUCUAAAGGAGGGUGUGAUAUGGGACAGGCCGCUGAUUCAAGGAAGAGGGGCUCCUCUCCUUUUCCUUUGACUGUUUUGGGGUCUGUACCCAGAUCUCACCUCAUUCUGUCUUUCUGUCCUUAAGGAGAGAUGCCCAUUGGGACAAGGAAAGUGAUGCCUUCCUUCACCCACCCCUUCCCUUAUGAAGAUCUGCAACCUGUGGUUUCAAAGCCUUCGCCCAGCAUUCUGGGGCCCCCCACCCCUGCCAUCAUCCAUGAUGUGCCCUGUCUAUUCUUUUUUUUUU